AAAAUCUAGGCAAAACCAUUCAGGACAUAGGCAUAGGAAAGGACUUCAUGACUAAAACACAAAAAGCAUUGGCACCAAAAGCCAAAAUAGACAAAUGGGACCUAUUCAAACUCCAGAGGUUCUAUACAGCAAAAGUAACAAUCAUUAAAGCGAAUCAGCAACCAACAGAAUGGGAAAAAAAUUUUGCAAAAUACCCAUCUGACAAAGGACUGAUAUCCAAAAUCCACAAAGAAUUAAAACAGAUUUACAAGAA